rnacentral:SRP_RNA from 1 species
GCUGGGCGUGGUGGCACGUGCCUGUAAUCCCAGCUACUUGGGAGGCUGAGGCAGGAGAAUUGCUUGAACCCAGGAGGCAGAGGUUGCAGUGAGCCGAGAUCAAGCCACUGCACUCCAGCCUGGGUGACAGAGCAAGACUCUGUCUCGG